UGGGGAAUUUUGGACAAUGGGCGAAAGCCUGAUCCAGCAAUGCCGCGUGUGUGAAGAAGGCCUUCGGGUUGUAAAGCACUUUUGUCCGGAAAGAAAUCCUUGGCUCUAAUACAGUCGGGGGAUGACGGUACCGGAAGAAUAAGCACCGGCUAACUACGUGCCAGCAGCCGCGGUAAUACGUAGGGUGCAAGCGUUAAUCGGAAUUACUGGGCGUAAAGCGUGCGCAGGCGGUUUGCUAAGACCGAUGUGAAAUCCCCGGGCUCAACCUGGGAACUGCAUUGGUGACUGGCAGGCUAGAGUAUGGCAGAGGGGGGUAGAAUUCCACGUGUAGCAGUGAAAUGCGUAGAGAUGUGGAGGAAUACCGAUGGCGAAGGCAGCCCCCUGGGCCAAUACUGACGCUCAUGCACGAAAGCGUGGGGAGCAAAACAGGAUUAGAUACCCUGGUAGUCCACGCCCUAAAACGAUGUCAACUAGUUGUUGGGGAUUCAUUUCCUUAGUAACGU
rnacentral:rRNA from 1 species